rnacentral:rRNA from 1 species
AAGAUUUUCCCAUGGCGCCUGUUUAUCAAAAACAUGGUUUUUUGAUGUUAUAAAAAAUCUAACCUGCUCAAUGCAUAUGUAAAUAGCCGCAGUAUUUUAACUGUGCUAAGGUAGCAUAAUCAUUUGUCUUUUAAAUUAAGUCUAGAAUGAAGGGUUGGACGAAGGAAAAGCUGUCUUUUUGUUAUAUAAUGAAUUUAAUUAAUUAGUAAAAAGGCUAAUAUAGAUUUGAGGGACGAUAAGACCCUAUUAAACUUGAUUUUUAUAAUUUUGCUGGGGCGGUAAUUUAAGAUGAAGAUCUUAUUUAAAUAGAAUAUAAUUUGUUGAUCCAAUAUUAUUGAGGAAAAGAUAAAGUUACUAUAGGGAUAACAGCUUAAUUUUCUUUUGAAGUUCAUAUUUAGAAAAAAGUUUAAGACCUCGAUGUUGAAUUAAAGAUAUCUUUUUAGUGAAGCAGUUAAAAUAAGAAAGUCUGUUCGACUUUUAAAUCUUUACGUGAUCUGAGUUCAGACCGGCCAUGGGAGC